GACGAACGCUGGCGGCGUGCUUAACACAUGCAAGUCGAACGGAAAGGCCCUGCUUGUGUGGGGUGCUCGAGUGGCGAAGGGGUGAGUAACCCGUGAGUAACCUGCCCUUGACUUUGGGAUAACUUCAGGAAACUGGGGCUAAUACCGGAGAGGAGCGCCUGCUGCAGGGUGGGGGUUGGAAAGUUUGGGCGGUUGGGGAUGGACUCGCGGCUUAUCAGCUUGUUGGGGGGGUAGUGGCUUACCAAGGCUUUGACGGGUAGCCGGCCUGAGAGGGUGACCGGCCACAUUGGGACUGAGAUACGGCCCAGACUCCUACGGGAGGCAGCAGUGGGGAAUAUUGCACAAUGGGCGGAAGCCUGAUGCAGCAACGCCGCGUGCGGGAUGACGGCCUUCGGGUUGUAAACCGCUUUCGCCUGUGACGAAGCGUGAGUGACGGUAAUGGGUAAAGAAGCACCGGCUAACUACGUG
rnacentral:rRNA from 1 species